GUCAACCUCGUCAGCAUAUGUCAAAAUUUCGUCCACGUGACGUGACCAUUCAGCAAGUAAGGCGAAAGUUUUCCAAGUAACCCUGUCAGGAGGUUGAUCUGGCAGCGCUUGAAACAACACCAUAUCCGUCACAAUUUUAAAAGCUUCCACGAGCGAAGUUUUGCCUACUUGUGUUAACCCACAUUCCAAUAUCUCCUUGUAGGAGACGUGUUUGAGACGACACACAGGCUGCAUCCGAAAUUCGUGUGUGUAACCUCUUCUCCAUCUGCCACACACAUCUCUACCUAGCACAGGCUGCUCUUCAUCUGCGUCUGAUGAUGACGACCAUGUGCCAUCAAGCCGAGGAUCAACCUCAGGCCAUGUUGUGUCAUCGGCGGCUGACUUGUCUUGACUGGUCAUUACAAACCAAGUUCAUUCUAUACAGCAAGAGGAGAAAGCAAAUUGUCAUCAUAACAGCGAAGCCUCCAUAACACAAGUAAGCUAUGUCAUCCGUCAUGGAAAAGUUGGAUAAACUGAAAAAAUGUGGUGACGGUGAAAUUCAGAAAAUGAGCAACAUAGCCAAAAACGAAAAGUUCGAAGUGCUGGACAUUCAGAAAAUUGACACUAUGUAUGGCGAGGCAGUAUACGUGGAGCUCCGCAUGGAAAACGACAAGCCAGUGAAAGUGUAUCUACCUGGACGCUUCAAAAAAUUGUCGGAGGAAGAGCUAGAGGAAAUGCGACUGCUUCCAAAUCUCAAAAUGGAGAAGAAAGAACGGUUUACCAAAGAUGGUAAAAAAGUCAUUUUGCCAGAUAUUAUCUUCACCAAUUCGAAGAGAAAGUGAUGAGAUAUGGUGACGUGUCACUUAUGCUCCCAGCACGAACGGCAGUAUUAUGCAACAGCAUUAGGUCUUCAGAUUCACUUGGCAAAUGUUCACAAUCUUCAAGCCCCCUGCAUUCCUUUUUGUGAGACUUUGUGCACACUGCGAAACUAUACUAAUCGGUUCGAGCUACAUUUACACGACAGGGACGUUAGCGGACAUGAUGUUACAACCUUUUUUCACGAGUACAGACAGUACAUUGCUGAUGUCUUACGACACUUUGGUUUCCCACUGCGCUAUUUUGUAUUGCUUAAAGUGGAACUUGGUCGUCACACGCCAGACGAUGAGUUACAGAUCGAAAUUAGUUUCGUGCCUUCCAAAGUAGUGACAGUAUGGUCAGAGGCAGAUGUAGAACCUUCUAUCACUCAAGUGACUGCUGAAAUAGCACAAAAUUUGGAAAACCUCGAAGUAGAAGGUUCAGGUUUUUUUCUCUUUCGCAUUCAUGCAUGUAUCAUGAACAUUGGACGUUUGAUGCCUCAACUGAUUGGAUGUGCCCAGUUUGAGUUACCGCAAGAAUUGAAGCAUAAGUUUCGUUCUCUGUUGUGUGUGGACUUUGGUUUGCAUGAAGAUGAGCAGAACAUGUGUUUUGCCUUCUCUGUAAUAGCUGCACUGCAUCCUGCUACUGGUUAUCGCAGGCGUAGGGCAUCUUCAUACAGACCAUAUAUUUCUGAGUAUGUUUUUCCGAAAACAUUCCCGGUAGCUUUCCCAAAAGAGGUUGAAGCAUUCGAAAAAAAUAAUGGUAUCAGUAUCAAUGUGUACGCCUACGAAAGGGAAGACAAAUCUCUGUACCCCAUCAAGGCUGUCGAUGACGAGCGUGAGAAACA